rnacentral:lncRNA from 13 species
UGUUUUUCUAGUUGUAAUUUUGGAUUGCACAUUCGUCUUUAGUCCCAGUAGGGGGUACUGUUGUCUUUUCUCAUGUCGUUCAGUUGUUGUUUUUGACACAAAUCAAUGUCCAGUCACUAAUCUAGAGGAUUCAAUCAUGUUAGUCAAUGUCCAGUUUCUAGACUGGCAGAAUACCUGGAGUAGCUGCAUCACAGGGGUGCUGUGUUCAUUUGAAAGAGAAGUAUUAUAUAUAUAUAUUUUUAAAAUGUAUUUCCUCAUACUUGGUAGAGAGGACUAGAUUAUUUUAAAUUACCUAAGGAUAUACUGUUCGCAGGUUCAUAGUCGGCAGACGGAAUGCUUCAGAGAGCUUCAUCAAGUGUUCACCAGUUUCUCUGUGUCUGUGUAUCUCUGUGUACAGUGUACAUGCUCUUGGAGUCUCUCUGUGUAUAUUCGUAUGUGUGAAGAUUGUGUGUGUGUGUGUGUGUGUGUGUGUGUGUGUGUGUGCAGGUGAGGACGGCCUCCCUAUCACCUGCAUACAGAGUAGUUGGUGGCGUAUCAGAGUCAUGCCCUGCCCCACAUUCAUAUCCACUCCCUCUUCCUCCUCCUCCUCCUCCUCCUCCAUAUCUUCCACCACCUCCUCCUCUACCUCCACCCCCUUCUCCUGAGGAGGAUCCGGAGACCCAGAGAGGUGUUCAGGCCUUGGGUAACCAAGCAUCACCGCUCCCCUCCCCUCGCCCCUCUACUGCCAUGGGGCUGAAAAAACAAUUUUACUCCCAGACUUGAAGCUGCCUCCAGCUACCUGGGUAUCCUGCCUGCUCCAGACUCUUCUCAUGUCCUGCCUAUGUACCUGAAGAAUACUAAGCACUUCCCUCAGAACAUUUAAAAACUAAAAUAAUAAUAAUAAUCUUAACUUUCAAUCUCUAUUGAGUAUAGGCAUUUUUAAAUGAUAGGCCUACGGCACAAUUUCUAUGAAUGGAGAUGAUCAUGUUUCUAAAAUAUCACCAAAAAAAAGACAUAUACAAUUGCAGUAUAAUACACUAGUCGGGUGAUUUACCAAGCAGUCUUACCUGACUUGGUAUUGUAUGUAAAACAUUUCAGAUGUCUUUUUCUAUCUUCAUGAACACAUUACCAACAAAUCCACAAAUAUGAGCCUCCCCAUUGCCAAUAGACUUCAAUGUAUUUGAUAAGCUCAUCUCUUUAAGACAGGCUCAUUGACUGACUGACUGGCUGGCUGUGGGAUGGCAGUGAGGAGGAGGGAACACUGUGGUCUAGCCAACCUGCAUCAAGCCAGUUUCUAUGGUGGUUCUCCGCCUAACGGUGUUAUGAUCCAAGACGUUGCACUGCCAAACAA